UUGCAUUCUUGNCCAAAUUAACGGGUNCUAAACAUCAANGGGUGGCGCCACAUACUGUGCGGCAGGCCGAACGUUGCAAAUGAUCGCNACGCACCNGGGGGGAGAAAAUUAUAAAGUGUUNACACUUCCAGGGGGAAAGAAGGGUCUAACCUUAUAUGGAGGGCAAGAUCGAUAUGCAAAUGAUGUGGGUAAUGGUCCUAGGAGGGGUAAAGGCCUUCAAGGAGACCCCACUUGGGUGUGAGGAUGAUCCGCAACAUGGGAUGAGACACGUCCGAUCCUUACCAAUGGGGGCAGUCCCUGAUACUGGCCAACGCUCAAUCCAUGAACCCCCAUGCGUGUAUGAGCAUGAAGCCGAAGGGAUGUAAAGCUCGUUAAUCCGUGAAGAUAAGACGGUACCUCCAGAAUAGCCCCGCUAACUUC
rnacentral:rRNA from 1 species